UAAGCGAGGAGGAGGCUACUUGGAUUAAUACUCUAGGAUAGUGGACGUUACUCGCAGAAUAAGCACCGGCUAACUCUGUGCCAGCAGCCGCGGUAAUACAGAGGGUGCGAGCGUUAAUCGGAUUUACUGGGCGUAAAGCGUGCGUAGGCGGCUUUUUAAGUCGGAUGUGAAAUCCCUGAGCUUAACUUAGGAAUUGCAUUCGAUACUGGGAAGCUAGAGUAUGGGAGAGGAUGGUAGAAUUCCAGGUGUAGCGGUGAAAUGCGUAGAGAUCUGGAGGAAUACCGAUGGCGAAGGCAGCCAUCUGGCCUAAUACUGACGCUGAGGUACGAAAGCAUGGGGAGCAAACAGGAUUAGAUACCCUGGUAGUCCAUGCCGUAAACGAUGUCUACUAGCCGUUGGGGCCUUUGAGGCUUUAGUGGCGCAGCUAACGCGAUAAGUAGACCGCCUGGGGAGUACGGUCGCAAGACUAAAACUCAAAUGAAUUGACGGGGGCCCGCACAAGCGGUGGAGCAUGUGGUUUAAUUCGAUGCAACGCGAAGAACCUUACCUGGUCUUGACAUAGUAAGAACUUUCCAGAGAUGGAUUGGUGCCUUCGGGAACUUACAUACAGGUGCUGCAUGGCUGUCGUCAGCUCGUGUCGUGAGAUGUUGGGUUAAGUCCCGCAACGAGCGCAACCCUUUUCCUUAUUUGCCAGCGGGUUAAGCCGGGAACUUUAAGGAUACUGCCAGUGACAAACUGGAGGAAGGCGGGGACGACGUCAAGUCAUCAUGGCCCUUACGACCAGGGCUACACACGUGCUACAAUGGUCGGUACAAAGGGUUGCUACCUAGCGAUAGGAUGCUAAUCUCAAAAAGCCGAUCGUAGUCCGGAUUGGAGUCUGCAACUCGACUCCAUGAAGUCGGAAUCGCUAGUAAUCGCGGAUCAGAAUGCCGCGGUGAAUACGUUCCCGGGCCUUGUACACACCGCCCGUCACACCAUGGGAAUUUGUUGCACCAGAAGUAGGUAGUCUAACCGCAAGGAGGACGCUACCACGGUGGACCCCG
rnacentral:rRNA from 1 species